rnacentral:rRNA from 1 species
CAGUAGCCGCGGUAAUACGAAGGGGGCUAGCGUUGUUCGGAAUUACUGGGCGUAAAGCGCACGUAGGCGGAUAUUUAAGUCAGGGGUGAAAUCCCAGAGCUCAACUCUGGAACUGCCUUUGAUACUGGGUAUCUUGGGUAUGGAAGAGGUGAGUGGAAUUCCGAGUGUAGAGGUGAAAUUCGUAGAUAUUCGGAGGAACACCAGUGGCGAAGGCGGCUCACUGGUCCAUUACUGACGCUGAGGUGCGAAAGCUAGGGGAGCAAACAGGAUUAGAUACCCCCGUAGUCCCUGUCUCUUAUAC